rnacentral:lncRNA from 1 species
UAGCAAUUACUGUAUGUCUGGCAUUAUUUUAAGAAUUUUACACAAAAAUAAUUAAUCUAACCCUAACAAAAACCCAAUGGGGCAAGUUGUAUUGUCCCCCCUUUGCAGGUGAGGAAGACAAAGUGAGUGGGCUCAGUAACUCACCCGAGUCACAGUCACACUGAGUCACAGCAGGAUCUGGGCCCCGACAGUCCCCUAUCCCAAGUGAAAGAACCAAGACUCCAGGAGGGCUGCAGCUUUGUCCAAGGUGUUGUUGAAUUGCAGGAGUUCCAUAUCCUGGGGGUUUCUUAACUGAUCAUUUCCAAUCCCCAACCACACACCUGUCAGGAAGUCUUAAAGAUCCAGGUGGAGACAAACAGUCCUUUGGUAGGAGCUAGGAGGCUGGAUGCAGAAGACGGUGGUAGAUGAGGAGGAAAUGGGAAGGCAUCUAACACUCACCUACCCUUGCCCUAAAGCCAGGGACCCUCUUCCAUUAAAGAAAAAUCCACAUUCUGCUUGCAGAUGCUUGUUACUCUUAUCCACAGAAGCUCUGUUAACCUGCCUGCCACAGACAUGGAGGCCACUGACCUUCAUCCCCAACCACAGCUGCAAUAGAGUGGCAGGAAUUCAAGGAAAGAGGAGCAUGUGGUGUGAAAGAAGGAAGAGAAGAGGACCAGCACUAGGAGAGGAUGCUUCCUCCCAGACCAGACAAGCUCCACAGGUAAAGAGCUUCAACGUGAAGAUUAAGUUAAAGAAAACAAGCAUAACCCUUAUAUCGAUGUUCCCAUUCAUGCAGCCCCAUGGGGAUGAUGCAGCGGUCAUGUGACUAAUUUUGUAGCUGCCCGAACAGGUGUGUAGAAUAAUAAUAAUAAUGUGAGUGAUUCCUGUACUGUCUCGAUUCACUGUACAAGUUAUCACCGUGUGAGGAACAGGUCAUCACUCAGAAGACAGUGGGAUGCACUAAACUGCAGACUCUCAGGAUGGAGAAGUAGGGUUUGGCUGCAGAAGAGAGGGUAGUGGUCAGGCGAGUGGGGAAGCACAUGCCCUUGAGGGAGG